UGGGGAAUAUUGCACAAUGGGCGCAAGCCUGAUGCAGCCAUGCCGCGUGUAUGAAGAAGGCCUUCGGGUUGUAAAGUACUUUCAGUCGGGAGGAAGGUGUCAAGGUUAAUAACCUUGGCAAUUGACGUUACCGACAGAAGAAGCACCGGCUAACUCCGUGCCAGCAGCCGCGGUAAUACGGAGGGUGCAAGCGUUAAUCGGAAUUACUGGGCGUAAAGCGCACGCAGGCGGUUGAUUGAGUCAGAUGUGAAAUCCCCGGGCUCAACCUGGGAACUGCAUCUGAUACUGGCAAGCUUGAGUCUCGUAGAGGGGGGUAGAAUUCCAUGUGUAGCGGUGAAAUGCGUAGAGAUGUGGAGGAAUACCGGUGGCGAAGGCGGCCCCCUGGACAAAGACUGACGCUCAGGUGCGAAAGCGUGGGGAGCAAACAGG
rnacentral:rRNA from 1 species